UUCUGCCUCUCAAGUGCUGGGAUCAAAGGUGUGUGCCAUCACCACCACCCAGCAAAAAUGACUUUUUUUUUUUAAGGCUUAAGAUGAUGUGGGCAUUGGUGUCCACACGUGUAAAGUGAGGAUGGUUCUAUCUACCAUCUCAGGUAAACACACGGAGCUGCUGUGGGGAUCACAUGUUAGAGACCUGCUGCGCUUUUUGUGGUGCCCAGACACACAAAGUCCCAAGUUCCCUAGUGAGAAAGAGCUAAGCAAUUCUUUUUUUGUGUGUUGUGUGGGCAGUGUAUUUGGUUGUCUCUGUAUAACACAAUGGAUCAUGCCUGUUUGGGUGGGUGAAGGUUAUGUUGAGAAGGAAAGACCUAGGAGCUAUGACGUGGCAGCCCAAGGCAAAGAUGAUGAUUCUGAAGUUGGGACAUAGCCAGGCUGCCUUCAAAAGGGAUGAGACAAUCCCAGGCUUUUGCAAAGCUGAAAAUCCAGAGAUGAUUUCAGUGCAGAGUAGCUGACCCGAUUGUGUUCCGUGGAAACCAUCCGUUUGGAGACCCUUGCUGGGGAAGGUCACGUGAAAAUCUUCAAGCCUCCAUAAGUUGCAGAAAUGAGAGAGGCAUGUGUGCCUCUCUCUGCUUGCCCAGAAAUACAGAUUUUUCAACCAGUGGAGCUUCAAUAAAUAUUGAUGAGUUGAAGGACACCCUAGGGAGGUACCCUAGGGCAGCACAACCUGGUAAGCCCCCUGCCAUGAAGGAGACACCAUGGGAUCAGUAUCCAGAGUGAACAAGUUCUCAACAGCCCCAGAGAAGCAUCACUUAAGCUGUGGUACAAGUGUUAAGAUGGCCUGAAUCACGGAGCAGCUUUACUCUGAGAAGACUUCCCCCUGACCCACAAGCUGGACAGUAGAGCAUCAAUCAAUCACUCUACAUUGCAUCUGGUGUUUUGUUUUCUUUUUUUGAGAUAGGGUCUCACUAUGUAGCCUUGGCUGGUCUGGAACUUGGUAUGUAGACCAGGCUGGCCUCACACAGAUUUCCAUGUCUCUCUUCCUGCCUCCUGAGUGCUGGGAUUAAAAGUGUGCUCUGCCAUUGUUUGACUAGAAACCUGCGCCUGAAGACUUCAAUAGACCUGUUGCUGAUACUAUCUGGCCAGUGCCAAACCCAGUGACCCUCAGUCAGCAUCUAGAGCAUUAGAACUGAGUCUUCCAUGUGCUAUUGUCUUGGUGACUGUGAGGAAAUUUGGAGAGAAUCAGCCAAUUGGUGAAGACCCUGGCCAUAGCUGUCACCUCACAACAGAUAUUUUCCCAGUUACAUGUUCAUCUCAAAGGACUGAAGGAAGCAGCAGAGAAGCAGCAGCCAGUUCUCAGAUGGCCUUCAGCUUUGCUCCCCUUGGGUUGGCCAGGAGAAGUCUGCAUGAAGCACUUUACAGUCUUUAAAGAUGUGGUGAAAAAGCCUCUGGAGCCUCUCCCGCUUUACUUGCAAAUAAAUGUUCACUGCAUCGAGUCUGGCUCGAGGCCUCUGGCUUCUGCCACACCAUCAAUACUGGACCUUCACCAGAGCCCCUCUUGGAUAUCCUUUUGUUGUUGCCCACCCUGGACAUACCUGGAGAUCCUUCAGCUUUGGUUCUGCAGGACUGCCCCCUCAUGUGCUCCAGUAGCCCACAGAUGAGGCAGUCAGGGAGAACCACGUUUUACUUCCCUUCAAAACUCUGAAGCUGUCUUCUGGUGAACAACCAUCGCAUUGGCAUUCAAGUUCUUCUUUCCACAGGAUGCUAAGAAUGCAAGCAUAGUCAGGCCUGUUGGCAUCAGGGCCUCCAAAACCUGUGACGUUACACAGGUGGGCCAGACCAGCUGCCAAGGCAACAGCCACCAUAUUCCCAGAGUCCAUUGGGCUUA